rnacentral:rRNA from 1 species
UCUGGCGGCAGUAGCGCGGUGGUCCCACCUGACCCCAUGCCGAACUCAGAAGUGAAACGCCGUAGCGCCGAUGGUAGUGUGGGGUCUCCCCAUGCGAUGCCGAACUCAGAAGUGAAACGCCGUAGCGCCGAUGGUAGUGUGGGGUCUCCCCAUGCGAGAGUAGGGAACUGCCAGGC